rnacentral:lncRNA from 1 species
AUAAUUAGAUCCAUCUGUGAAUCGAAUUCACAAUUUAAUUAUUCGAUCAAGUCAAAAAAAAAUUUGUGUGUGACCCCAUAGGUUUUAUUCUAUCUGGUAGUGAGACAUAUCACAAUCUUCAUUAUAAAUAUUAUUAAAACUCCUUUCAAAGGAUUGAAACAAUUCUAACUCAUCUAAUAAAAAUUAUUGACCAUCGAUUAAUUCUCAC